GAAAUGCGAUAAGUAAUGUGAAUUGCAGAAUUCAGUGAAUCAUCGAAUCUUUGAACGCACCUUGCGCUCCUUGGUAUUCCUUGGAGCAUGCCUGUUUGAGUAUCAUGAAAUCUUCAAAGUAAAUCUUUUGUUAACUCAAUUGGUUUCUACUUUGGUAUUGGAGGUCUUUGCAGCUUCACACCUGCUCCUCUUUGUUCAUUAGCUGGAUCUCAGUGUUAUGCUUGGUUCCACUCGGCGUGAUAAGUUAUCUAUCGCUGAGGACACUGUAAAAGGUGGCCAAGGUAAAUGCAGAUGAACCGCUUCUAAUAGUCCAUUGACUUGGACAAUACUUUUAUGAUCUGAUCUCAAAUCAUGUAGGACUACCCGCUGAACUUACGC
rnacentral:misc_RNA from 1 species